UACGGGGGGAGCAAGCGUUGUUCGGAUUUACUGGGCGUAAAGGGCGCGUAGGCGGCCACUGCAAGUCGGUUGUGAAAUCUCCGGGCUUAACCCGGAAAGGUCAAUCGAUACUGCAGGGCUAGAGUGCAGAAGGGGCAACUGGAAUUCUCGGUGUAGCGGUGAAAUGCGUAGAUAUCGGGAGGAACACCUGCGGCGAAGGCGGGUUGCUGGGCUGACACUGACGCUGAGGCGCGAAAGCUAGGGGAGCGAACGGG
rnacentral:rRNA from 1 species